rnacentral:other from 1 species
UUACACCUGCCGUGUGCGUGAAACCGAUACGGGGUUUUGAGCCAACAUUUUGAUAAAAAGGGGUCUCUUGUCCAAGAGCGACGACGCGGUAGCCUGCGGGCAAGGCUGAAUCGUUCGGCAAGACCCCACCUGCGUCAGCAGGGUCAAAGCCAGCGGUACACGGCACGGCGGGGCCGGA